UACGGAGGGUGCGAGCGUUGUCCGGAAUCAUUGGGCGUAAAGGGCGCGUAGGUGGCCUGUGCAAGCGUGCGGUGAAAGCUCGGGGCUCGACCCCGGGUCGGCCGUGCGAACUGCGGGGCUGGAGCACUGUAGAGGCAGGCGGAAUUCCGGGUGUAGCGGUGGAAUGCGUAGAGAUCCGGAAGAACACCGGUGGCGAAGGCGGCCUGCUGGGCAGUGGCUGACACUGAGGCGCGACAGCGUGGGGAGCAAACAGG
rnacentral:rRNA from 1 species